UACGUAGGGGGCUAGCGUUGUCCGGAAUCAUUGGGCGUAAAGAGCGUGUAGGCGGCCCGGUAAGUCCGCUGUGAAAGUCGGGGGCUCAACCCUCGAAUGCCGGUGGAUACUGUCGGGCUAGAGUGCGGAAGAGGCGAGUGGAAUUCCUGGUGUAGCGGUGAAAUGCGCAGAUAUCAGGAGGAACACCAAUUGCGAAGGCGGCUUCCUGGCCUGUUCUUGACGCUGAGGCGCGAAAGCUAGGGGAGCAAACGGG
rnacentral:rRNA from 1 species